UCCCGUAAAAUAAGUAUUGUACCUCACAAAUACUUUUGAAUCCACAGUACAGAUAUUUCAAAUGUAAAAUAUCAACUCAAAACUCCUGUGAUGUUAAUCAUCUGCUGGACAGAUGGUGAUAUGUCUUUGAGCUUCUGUAUAACUCAUACAAGAAAAUCACCGUUUGACCUUGAAUAUUAUAAAUGGCAACAUUUACAUAAAUACAGACAUUGAACAAAAGUCAUAUAUCUCAGACAUUUUGGAACUUUCUUUUAAGAUCACAACAGUAAUUCAAUUACCUAGGUAAAGUAGAACCUUUGUCUUGGUUGUGUGCUUGGUAAUAGAUUCAUUGAUCUAAUUUAAAACCAAAAGUAAUUGGCAAUUAAGGGUCAGAAUAUAUUGAUUACUCCGCAAAUGAUUUUUUUUAACCAC
rnacentral:lncRNA from 1 species